rnacentral:rRNA from 1 species
GAUGAACGCUGGCGGCGUGCCUAAUACAUGCAAGUCGAGCGAACGGACGAGAAGCUUGCUUCUCUGAUGUUAGCGGCGGACGGGUGAGUAACACGUGGAUAACCUCCCUAUAAGACUGGGAUAACUUCGGGAAACCGGAGCUAAUACCGGAUAAUAUUUUGAACCGCAUGGUUCAAAAGUGAAAGACGGUCUUGCUGUCACUUAUAGAUGGAUCCGCGCUGCAUUAGCUAGUUGGUAAGGUAACGGCUUACCAAGGCAACGAUGCAUAGCCGACCUGAGAGGGUGAUCGGCCACACUGGAACUGAGGCACGGUCCAGACUCCUACGGGAGGCAGCAGUAGGGAAUCUUGCGCAAUGGGCGAAAGCCUGACGGAGCAACGCCGCGUGAGUGAUGAAGGUCUUCGGAUCGUAAAACUCUGUUAUUAGGGAAGAACAUAUGUGUAAGUAACUGUGCACAUCUUGACGGUACCUAAUCAGAAAGCCACGGCUAACUACGUG